GACUACAUGAAGCCGGAAUCGCUAGUAAUCGCGAAUCAGAAUGUCGCGGUGAAUACGUUCCCGGGCCUUGUACACACCGCCCGUCACACCAUGGGAGUCGGUAACACCCGAAGUCGGUAGUCUAACCGAAAGGAGGACGCCGCCGAAGGUGGGAUUGAUGACUGGGGUGAAGUCGUAACAAGGUACC
rnacentral:rRNA from 1 species